rnacentral:rRNA from 34 species
GUUGACCUCGGAUCAGGUAGGGAUACCCGCUGA